ensembl:lncRNA
CGCUGAAGUGAGGAGUGCUGAACUGAAGGAACGAGGCAGGCCCAGGUCUGGAAGGCAGGGGUGCUGAGGGGCUGUACAGGUCCCUGGGACAGAGACACUAGCAGAGGAUAGGCCAUUGGGACAUCCAGCUGGAGAAAAUAAUGCUUCAUUCUCAUGCUUAUCACCAGGGCUAUCUCACCAUAAGCGUGGCACAGUGCUGCCCAUCAUGAUGGAGUUGGAGAUGCAACAGGAGUGUUGAUGAGGAAUCCUGUCAGAAGACUACAGCAGUCAUUUAAGCCAGAGAUGGGGAGGAAAUCCCAAAUACAUGGUUGCAUGUCUGGAUCCGGGGGCCAAAUCAAGGGAUGAUAUGCAGCCCAGGAUGCUGUUGUUAUUGUUUCUUAGUCUCUCAGUCGUGUCUGAAACUUUGUGACUCCAUGGACUAUAG